CUACGGGAGGCAGCAGCAAGGAAUUUUCCGCAAUGGGCGCAAGCCUGACGGAGCAACGCCGCGUGCGGGAUGACGCCCUUCGGGGUGUAAACCGCUUUUCGGGGGGACGAAGAUCGUGACGGUACCCCCGGAAGAAGGCCCGGCUAACUACGUGCCAGCAGCCGCGGUAAGACGUAGGGGCCGAGCGUUGUCCGGAGUUACUGGGCGUAAAGGGCGCGCAGGCGGCCGGUCGCAUCGGCGGUGAAAGCCCCCCGCUCAACGGGGGAGGGUCCGUCGAGAUGGAUCGGCUGGAGGCAGGGAGAGGGCGGUGGAAUUCCGGGUGUAGUGGUGAAAUGCGUAGAGAUCCGGAGGAACACCAGUGGCGAAGGCGGCCGCCUGGACCUGACCUGACGCUGAGGUGCGAAGGCGUGGGGAGCGAACGGGAUUAGAAACCCCAGUAGUCC
rnacentral:rRNA from 1 species